ACUGUAAUUGUACGGAAAAUUAGAGUACCAAGUGGGCCAAUUAUGGUAAUCAUGACUGGCGCUGUGGGAUGAACCAAACGUCUAGUUAAGGUGCCGAUCG